CCUGGUGGCUCAGAUGGUAAAGAAUCUGCCUGUAAUGCAGGAGACCCAGGUUUGAUCCCUGGGUCAGGA
rnacentral:tRNA from 1 species